UAUUACAAAAAUAAACAAAUAAAUUUCUCAUAUAUCAUCCCAUAUUCCGAAGACAAGAAAAAUUCAUACGAUUGAAUUUUUUUGAAAAACAAAAAUUCCAAACCAGCCUCUUUUUUUGCGAUCAAGAAAAAAAAAAUUCCUAUGAUUGAUGGGGCUUUGAUGAUGAUAGGACGAUGACAGGUAGCCUUCUCAGACCAGGCAAGUUCCGACGGUACUAAGUGAGGGUUUAAGCCUUUCGCAGAUCGCAUCAAGCGUCUUCUCGUCCAUUUGAUCGAAAAGCGGAACCUGAAGGGUAGAAGAUUGAAGGUUCAGAUCAAUUUAGGCUAUUUAAGAUGAACUUGACAGGAAUCAGGAGAGACUUACUUGUCGAACUAGAUCGAGAUAGAGGUGGCACUUGAUAUCUCGCCUGAGAUCGACAGGAAGGUAUUUGAGAAUGGCUUCUUCGUCAACUCCCCUGGUUGCGAUCCACCGGUACUGAUCGUAUCUCCGAACGUUCUACUUUAGCUGGUGUGGUAGCUGCCUGUGAUGCAUCCAUUGUUCUGUAUCGAUUCUCCUAAUCCUCCACUCUUCCAGUUUCACGGUUGUUGAUUGAAGAGAUGUUUCUCCGCACGAAUUUGUCAAGGCAUACGCCGCUCACCUUAAAAGAUCUGGAAAGUUAUGUUAAAAAGGAAUCUUUUGGUGUGCGCACCCAUAGAGUAUGGAACCUUGGACCAAAUGGUGGCCUCCAUGAAUGAGGCUAAAGCAGAAAGAGCUAACCUUGUGGAGCUUCCCAUAUCUUUUUCUUCUAACAUUUCUCAACUUGAGAAACUUAUCAAACAACGAACUCUCCCUGCUAUUCUCUCCUUUAGGUAUCUCUCUCUCUCUCUCAUCAAUUCUUAAUACAUAUUUGAGUUUGAGUUUGAUUAAUAUUAUUAAUUGUUUUCCAAGAGCUUUUAAGUUUUAAAAGUGUAAUAUAAAGAGAAAACCAUAACUAUAAUUGAGCACAAUCACAAACUCUUAUAGUUAAACCAUGAAAAUUCUCCUCAUUAGAAAUCUCUUCUCGCCAUUCUCCCGCUCGAAAAUUCUACUGUAAGGAAAUGGUUAUUUUCCAAGAUGAAAGUGAACGUAAUCUCACGAAAUGGUAAAGAAGUAAUCAAGGGUGGCCUUGAGCUCAAUAACUCUGCCAUUGUAGAUGAUCUACAGGAGGCGAUUCAUAAGAAAAGCAUGUAAUUGUUAAUAUUUAUUUGUGUGGUCAAUAUUAAUUUUCACUUGUAACAAUUGUUAAUUAUAUAAUUUUUAAUUAGUUUGGUAUAUUAGUUAUAGAAUUUUGAGAGGUUUACCUAUUAAGAAGUGAACUUUUAUUUAAGUUUUAGUUCAUUUUCAGUUUAUCAUUACCAUGAAUUUUGUUAUUUUAUUAAUUGGUACAAAAUUAAGUAUUUGUAAUAAGUUUUUUCUUUA